AGUAUUUGAAUGGCAUUAGUCGGACCAUUAAUUCAAAAAUAUGUACGAUAUAAAAUAAUUGAGAAAUUUUUUAUUCAGUAAUUUGUUAAAAUCGGGUAAUUAAUUAUGAAGUCGCAAUUUAUGGCACUUUUUACACAUUUCUAAAAAAAUUAUUGAUGAAACUAAUUUUUAUCGAGGAUUAAUUUUUUAUUCGUUUUCACUUUUGUCACAACUAAUAAUAAUAGACAAAAGUCUUGUAUCACUCAAGGAUGAAAUAUCACGGGAUUAAACUAUUGAAGCUGGAUUUUUAACCACUAAACAAAUAUUUGAAGACGUAAUCCGUUAAAACACUGGAUUAAAAGAGAAUUAGGACAAAUUCAAUUCAAUUUUAUCGAAGAAUCAGCAGAUUAGACUGUUGUUUAUCCACCACGUUUAUAAAAGAGAUUCUGCUCUCGAUACCUCAGUAGAUAUCGCAAUGAAAGUGCCAGUACUGAUAGUACUAGCCCUCGUGGGCUUGUCUAGUGCCAAAUACGAGGGCUCAACAAUCUUGAGUUUAGCAUUGAAAUCGAAAAUGUUGGAACCGCCAUUCAGGCUGAAAAACACUACCACAAAUCGAGACAAGCUUUAGGUUUGGGAAAAAUUACUUUUGACCAAUAUUUACGCCACGCUGAGAUUAAUGCUUAUUUGGCCCAACUGGCUAAAGACUACCCCGACACUGUCACUCUAGAAACAAUCGGACAGUCGUACGAAAAACAUUCCCCGACUACAAUCCGAUCUAUUCUUACAGCAUCUCCUCUUUCACGACAGCUUCGAGGAGAAUCAUCGGCACGACCAUCAAUCCUGAAUACCCCGAAAUAUUGUGGAUUUCAUUUCCUGAUCAAGCUGGUUUGGGUAACUGAACCGUUAAAACCCAUCAGACCGGCUUCCAAUUAUUAAAGUCCAAUAUCAAAAAGAAGUCUUUGCAUUUCUACUAAAACAAUAUAAACUUUGUAAUUCAUGUUUUAUUAUAACUACAUAUAAAUGUGAAAUAUGAAAUGGAACAGAUUUAGUUGAUCGAAACUGAAAUUAACAUGCCGCGUUGAACUUAAAAAUAGCUACUUUAAAUUCAAACAAAAACUGAACCGGUUUCUCUGGUAUGUUAAGAGACAAAAAUUGCUUUUUCGCGACAACUGUUAAUGAAACGUUCACCCAUAGAAUUAACAGCUAUCUCAAUGCGAUCUUCUAGCGAUGACUUUCUAGCGUCAAGUUGCAGAUCAUCCAGAACGUGAAUAACAUCCUCGCGUCGCAGGCACAUCACAGAUGCUUUCUUGUCAGAAUCCACAUGCAUUGCCAUAAUAAAAGAAAGAGAAGGAGAUUUCUUACGUUCAUCAAAAUACUUCUUAUUUGUGAAAACAUUGUAGUACCGAUUUUGAAAGAUUUGUUUAAAUGCGUCUUGUACAGUAUUUGAACCACAUUUUAAUUCCAUUAUUAUCCCAGAUUUAUCAUUAAACAGUACUAAAUCAACUUUGGUUCUAUGAGUUGGAAUUAUUAUUUCGUUUCCGAAGAGAAAUCCUGCUCGACUACAUGUCAAUGUAAUUAUACUCUGUAAAGUUGCCUCCUUCAAUGGAUCGGUAAGUGUUGAACGUUGAAGUAGACAGGUUAUACUAUUUUGAAAAUUUGCUAAUUCUUCUUUGAACUGUGCUAAUGAUUCACCUUCAUCACAGAGUUUGGUUAGCUGAGAAAAUGAUGCUGAACAAUCUUCAGCCAAUUCUCUGUUAAUACCAAAUCUUUCAAAAAAAUAA